GACGAACGCUGGCGGCGUGCCUAAUACAUGCAAGUCGAGCGAUGAAGAUUGGUGCUUGCACCAAUUUGAAGAGCAGCGAACGGGUGAGUAACGCGUGGGGAAUCUGCCUUUGAGCGGGGGACAACAUUUGGAAACGAAUGCUAAUACCGCAUAACAACUUUAAACAUAAGUUUUAAGUUUGAAAGAUGCAAUUGCAUCACUCAAAGAUGAUCCCGCGUUGUAUUAGCUAGUUGGUGAGGUAAAGGCUCACCAAGGCGAUGAUACAUAGCCGACCUGAGAGGGUGAGCGGCCACAUUGGGACUGAGGCACGGCCCAAACUCCUACGGGAGGCAGCAGUAGGGAAUCUUCGGCAAUGGACGAAAGUCUGACCGAGCAACGCCGCGUGAGUGAAGAAGGUUUUCGGAUCGUAAAACUCUGUUGGUAGAGAAGAACGUUGGUGAGAGUGGAAAGCUCAUCAAGUGACGGUAACUACCCAGAAAGGGACGGCUAACUACGUG
rnacentral:rRNA from 1 species